rnacentral:lncRNA from 1 species
UCCUGUCCCUACUACAAAGCUGAUGUCGAAGACAUCACAUUGGCAAGGAACUGAGGUGGCCUGUCCACCUACAAAGGAGGCCAACGCACAUCUAUGACCAAAUUUUUUUCCUGUGCCUCCAACUUCGAGAAGACCAGCUUGAUUGAUAGAACAAUAACCGAAGCUCCUAGAUGCCGCUCCACCCUCUUCAUCUAUUGAAAUGGUAG